AUGAAAAUCAUAGAGAUAAUCGGAGAAGCAGCAAGAGGAAAAAAGGAUGUCGUAAAUGAAGUGGACAAAAAUCUUGACUCAUUUUUUAAGGCCACCACAUUUGGAGAAGGAAGAAACCUUACAAGAAACUACAUUAUAAAGAUACUUGGUUUGUCAGAGUGCACAGAUACUCUAGUGGGGGAUGAAAUGAGGAGAGGCAUAUCUGGAGGCCAAAAGAAAAGAUUGACAAUCGGAGAAAUGCUAGUUGGUCUAGCGAAAUGCUUCUUUAUGGAUGAUAUUUCAACUGGUCUUGAUAGCUCCACGACGUAUGAGAUCAUAAAAGUUAUACAACAAAUGGCUCAUUUACUAGAUCUCACAGUGGUUAUUUCCUUGCUUCAACCUCCUCCUGAGACAUUGGAAUUAUUUGAUGACAUAGUUCUUUUAUGUGAGGGCCAAAUUGUAUACCUAGGUCCUCGAGAAAAUGCUACCGAUUUCUUUGAGAUUAUGGGAUUCAAAUGCCCUUACAGGAAGAAUAUAGCUGAUUUCCUUCAAGAGGUGACCUCUAAGAUGGACCAAAAGCAAUAUUGGAUUGGUGACCAACAUAGGUAUCACUACCAUUCAAUUGAAAAUUUUGCAGAAUCCUUCCGUUCAUCCUAUCUACCUCGACUUGUACAAGACAAACUUUUAGUGCCAAAUAGUAGUAGAGUAAAGAGUGCGGAGGUAAAAACUAGAUUAGGUAUGUCCAGAUGGAAUAUCUUCAAGGCAUGUUUUUCAAGGGAAGUACUACUUCUGAAAAGAAACUCCCCAAUACAUAUAUUCACAACCGUACAAAUAACUAUCCUUGCUUUGGUGAUAUCGACUAUUUUCCUUCGGACAAAUAUGAACCACAAAUCUGUACUUGAUGCCAACAAGUAUGUCGGAGCUCUCUUUAUUGCUGUCAUGCUAGUAAAUUUCAAUGGCAUGAUUGAAAUUGCAAUGACAAUAAAGAGACUUCCCACUUUCUACAAACAAAGAGAGUUAUUAGCAUUGCCAGGAUGGGCACUCCUUACUCCAAAUUUCCUUCUUAGUAUCCCAAUAUCACUUAUGCAGACAGGUCUUUGGACUAGCUUAACCUAUUAUAUGAUUAGCUAUGCACCUUCCUUUAUCAGAUUCAUGAAGCACUUUUUGGUACUUUUUUCCAUGCAUCAAACAUCAAUGGGCAUGUGUCGUUUGUUAGUAGCAAUGGCAAGGACGCUAGUAAUGGCCAACGUGCUAGCAACCACAACACUUAUAGCAAUCUUUAUAUUUGGAGGCAUCGUCAUUUCAAAAGAUGAUCUCAAACAAUGGUUACAAUGGGGAUAUUGGACAUCACCAUUCACCUAUGCGCAAAAUGCAAUCUCCUUAAAUGAGUUCCUUGGUGAACGAUGGGCUACAGAAUUUCAUUAUGAAAAUGCUAAUACGAUUGGUGAAGCUAUCCUCAAGAUCAGGGGUUUUCUCACGGAGUCGCACUGGUAUUGGAUUUGUGUCGGCAUUUUAUUUGGAUUUGCGCUCGUCUUCAAUGUACUCAGUAUAUUUGCCCUGGAGUUCUUGAACUCGCCACAUAAACGUAAUGUUCACACUGAUGCCACGGACACAAUGAUGGAGUGUGAAAACAAAAUAGUUGAAACUCAAGAUGCAUCAAUUCUACAAGGCGUCCUUCCAUUUCAGCCUCUUCCCUUUGCAUUCAAUGCUAUCAAUUAUUCCGUCAAUAUGCCUAAGGAGAUGAUGAAGUAUGGAGUAACAGAGAAAAAACUUCAGCUACUACAAGAUGUUAGUGGUGCUUUCAGACCAGGAGUGCUAACAGCUCCGAUGGGGAUCACUGGUGCUGGAAAGACAACAUUGCUCGAUGUUUUGGCCGGAAGAAAAACCGGGGGGUAUAUCGAAGGUACUAUAACGGUAGCAGGAUACCCAAAGAGGCAAGAGACAUUUUCAAGGAUCUCGGGCUAUUGUGAACAAAGUGACAUUCACUCACCUAACCUCACUGUAUAUGAGUCACUUCAGUUUUCUGCAAGACUUCGCUUGUCUUCAAAAGUUACAUCGCACCAAAGAUAUAUGUUUAUACAUGAAGUCAUGCACCUAGUUGAGUUAACUAGAUUAAAGAAUGCAAUGGUGGGUCUGGUAGGAGCAACUGGCCUAUCAGCUGAGCAGCGAAAAAGGCUAAUGGCCGUGGAGAUGGUAGCUAGUCCUUCCAUCAUAUUUAUGGAUGAGCCGACCACUGGCUUGGAUGCCGGAUCUGCAGCAAUUGUCAUGAGAGCAAUAAGAAAGACAGUGGACACUGGAUGA
rnacentral:rRNA from 1 species